rnacentral:misc_RNA from 1 species
GAUGAAGAACGUAGCGAAAUGCGAUAAGUAAUGUGAAUUGCAGAAUUCAGUGAAUCAUCGAAUCUUUGAACGCAUCUUGCGCUCCUUGGUAUUCCGAGGAGCAUGCCUGUUUGAGUGUCAUUAAAUUCUCAACCUCACCAGUUUUGUUAUGAGACUGUGUAAGGCUUGGAUGUGGGGGUUUUUGCAGGCUGCCUCUGUGCGGUCUGCUCCCCUGAAAUGCAUUAGCGAGUUCACUAAGCUCCGUCUAUUGGUGUGAUAAUUAUCUACGCCGUGGAAUGGGUUUAGACUUGCUUCUAACCGUCUGCAAAGACAACUUUUGACAAUUUGACCUCAAAUCAGGUAGGACUACCCGCUGAACUUAAGCAUAUCAAUAAGCGGAGGA